GACGAACCGUGCGAACGUUGUUCGGAAUCACUGGGCUUAAAGGGCGCGUAGGCGGAUAUCCAAGUCAGGGGUGAAAUCUUUCAGCUUAACUGGAAAACGGCCUUUGAUACUGGAUGUCUGGAGUGAGGUAGGGGCAUGCGGAACUUCCGGUGGAGCGGUGAAAUGCGUAGAUAUCGGAAGGAACACCGGUGGCGAAGGCGGUGUGCUGGACCUCAACUGACGCUGAGGCGCGAAAGCCAGGGGAGCAAACGGGG
rnacentral:rRNA from 1 species